rnacentral:misc_RNA from 1 species
AUUGGGGCUUUUAGAGCGGUGGCAGACGGCGUUUUUGUCUCCGCAUCAGCCGGUAACGGUGGCCCAGGUGGGCUCACUGUGACUAAUGUAGCACCAUGGGUUACAACAGUAGGAGCUGGAACCAUGGAUAGAGAUUUUCCUGCUGAUGUUAAGCUGGGAAACGGGAGGGUUAUACUCGGUACUAGUGUCUACGGCGGACCGGCUUUAGUUCCGGGUCGUUUGUAUCCUCUUAUUUAUGCAGGAACCGAAGGCGGUGAUGGAUAUUCUUCGUCUCUUUGCUUAGAAGGUUCAUUGAACCCCAAUUUAGUGAAAGGGAAGAUUGUACUAUGUGACAGGGGCAUCAAUUCAAGAGCUGCUAAAGGUGAGGUUGUGAAAAAGGCUGGAGGGUUGGGAAUGAUUUUAGCAAAUGGGGUCUUUGACGGUGAGGGUUUGGUAGCUGACUGCCACGUACUACCUGCCACUGCCGUCGGUGCAGCCGGCGGCGACGAGAUUCGCAAAUAUAUUGCAGAAGCAGCGAAGUCUCAUUCACCGCCAACCGCCA